rnacentral:sRNA from 12 species
UGGGCUGAACAUUAUGCGUUCCUGGUCCAUCGACAGGCGGGGAUAUACCUC